GCCUGGGUAGCUCAGUUGGUUAGAACCUACUGCUGACAAUGCCAAGGUUGCAGGUUCGAUUCCCGUAUGGGACA